rnacentral:rRNA from 1 species
UACGUAGGGGGCUAGCGUUGUCCGGAUUUAUUGGGCGUAAAGAGCGUGUAGGCGGCCAGGUAGGUCUGCUGUGAAAACUCGAGGCUCAACCUCGAGACGUCGGCGGAAACCAUCUGGCUAGAGUCCGGAAGAGGAGAGUGGAAUUCCUGGUGUAGCGGUGAGAUGCGCAGAUAUCAGGAGGAACAUCGGUGGCGAAGGCGGCAUCCUGGACCGGUAUUGACGCUGAGGCGCGAAAGCCAGGGGAGCAAACGGG